GAAGGAGAAGGGGGAAUUAGCGUGCAUUUUGGGCAUUUGAAGAUCAACAAGAUGUCCAAUAUUUAGAGAGAAAUGCCAAAAAUGGAAUUAUGCUCCCAGAUAUAUUUUAAUACGCUUCGGCUUAGCUUCAUAAAUUUUGUUCUUUUCUUUCAUAUUUUAUCUCUAAAUAACCCGACUCGUUGUAAUGUAACGGUUGAAAGUAGUAGUUAGUUUAGUUAGGGAGGGGUCAUCUGACAAGUGACGAUCAAAUCUUUCCUCGUACGACUCAAACUUCUAAAGAGCAAAAGCUGAAAGCGGUAGUAGGAUUGGAAUGUCGAUUCUCUUAGCUUUGUUUGUGGCUACGUUCACGCCUCUUGUCUCAUUCCUCGAAUCAACGACGGCUUUGACUUCUCAAGUCAGCACUCGGACUGCUUUGUCCGGAGACUCGCCGACGACAUGCGACUCUCUAUUACGCGAAGUCAAGGAAGCCCAGUUUAAGCUCGCUCAAUUAGAGUCUGCACUUGUGAAAAGCUCCCAGGAUUUGAAUGCUAAAGGUCUACAUGCCAGAGAAUGUGAGAAGAAAAUUGAGGACUUGAACCUUGAGAUAGAUCUUCUAAAGACUGCUUUAAAAAGCUUUGAGGAUGUUUCCUCACAUGCAAAGGAAAAGCUUUCUGCUCUUGAAGGAGAGCUUCAACUUCUUUGGUCUGUCUCAAGGAGAAACAAUUUUGAGAUCCACACGCUUGAGCAUAGAGUACAUGAUGCUGAAAAGAGAUUAAAUGCAGUUACAUCAAAAGCGGAAAAGAUGGCUGAUAUUGUAUCUGAACAGUGGAUUCAAAUUCAGCAACUUGAACAAGCUGUUCAAAUGAUACAGGUGAGGGCAUUGAAGGUUAGAAGGCAGCUGAGGACCGCAAGAUGUCCAUUUGUGAAGUUUGUGAGAAGUUUAUUUGCUGAACGCCUUGAAAUGCUAAAGGGGAUUCUAGACCCAUAUAUAGCCACAGGAAGGUCCGUUUUGGAGAGGUCUCCACAUCAUCUGCAGAGAACCUUUUCAACAGUAGAAUAUUGCCAUCACUGGAUCUGAUUUUGGAUGGUGGUUACCAAUGAAGUAUCAAUCAACCAUAAAGAAAAUUCUUUUCCUGCGAACUUGCAAGUCAGGCCAAUAAUGUUGGAUCUUUGCUUUUGUUUUGCCUCUUAGUAUUGGGGUACUGAUAGUAAUGGAUGGUUUGGCACCUUGAGACACAGUUUUUGCUCUCUUGAUAUCACUCAUCGUAAAUUAUUUUUCUUUUGAUCCUGUUUUGGACAAAGCCUGCUUUCUUGCUCAAGUAUACAUGGUGAACUUGCUGUGACUUGGACUUGGAGUACUAUCAAAAUGAAUUGUGUUAAAAACCAUUACAAUCGACAUUUCCUCACAAGAUUUCGUUUGUUCUCUUUGAUUGAUCUAAGUGGCUUGAAAUCAACUGAAUUGGCUGGUUCUCAAGCUGAUUUUCUGCUUGUACUCUUUUCACGUCCACUUCCUAUACACGAACAGUGGCAUAUUUUGGACAGACUAAUGGCUUAAUUUCUUGCAGUAGACUGACUGGGAGGGAUUUUUGGAUGAUCUUAACACGUGUAUUAUUUAGUUACAAGGUUGUAUCAAGCAGUCAAUGUUGAGGAAUGAGUUUACUGCAGUUCUUGCUAACGACGAAGUGGUGUUUUUUCUGGCUUCAGCAUUGGUC